UACGUAGGGACCAAGCGUUGUUCGGAUUUACUGGGCGUAAAGGGCGCGUAGGCGGUCAGCACAAGUCAGUUGUGAAAUCUCCGAGCUUAACUCGGAAAGGUCAACUGAUACUGUGCGACUAGAGUGCAGAAGGGGCAACUGGAAUUCUUGGUGUAGCGGUGAAAUGCGUAGAUAUCAAGAGGAACACCUGCGGCGAAGGCGGGUUGCUGGGCUGACACUGACGCUGAAGCGCGAAAGCCAGGGGAGCGAACGGG
rnacentral:rRNA from 1 species